AUGCUUGCUGGGUUUUGGCCCUAUCGCUUCAAAGCUCCACCUCCCUCCUCCACCUCCCCCACCCCCCACUCCUGGUAUGAAGCCUCUAAUUUAAGAAGCACCAUUGGAGAAAUAGAAGAUGAUAAGACAUGAAGGAGCCACAGACCCUAACACCAUGACCACUAAAGCCCUGAUGACUCCUGCCUGCAUCUCUUCCUGCCAAGUGUCACCAGAAAACCUCUGCCCCAUUGCCAUCUAUUACCCUCACAUGACCUCCCUAGCCUCUGAAAGCAGACACUGGGAUGCUAAGAGAAUCAAAUAUGAAGAACCAAGGACUGGCCUCCCAAAUGUGUGUUCUCAGAUUUUGCUGAUGGUAAAGAAUGAGAAUUGAGGAAGAAAGAAUGUAUCUUCUGUCAGCCCUCCCCUCCUUAGCCUCUUAGCCUGCCUUUGGGUUCCUGACAUGAGUAUUGUGGCCUGGCUUCUCAGAGACUCUCACUCACCAGCACUCAUCAGCUGGGCUGCUGCCAGAGACACCGUGGCCUUGCUGUCAGUCAGACCCUCCAUGGCCGUCAGCACCAGGUGGGUGAGCUGCAUCUCGGUGAAGUACUCUGCAAAUGCCUGUAAGGGUGGCAUCAGGCCGCCUGCACCCAGGGCCUCCUGCUUGAGGUAGCCUGUGCCAUCCUUCCUGGUUGGGGUAGGAGGAGAGACCUUCUCUUGGGAACAUGAUGUGCUUUUGUCCUAGGCCUGUGCUGUCUGCCUAGCUCCUAGAAGACCCUUUCACUGGGAACAGAGUCUUUGGGAAUGGGAGGGAGAAAACACUGACCUCAGAUGCACCGAGGGGCUCACAGGUCAGGGGCAGAGUGCUGGGAAAGAAGGGCUGAGACCAAGAUCCUUAAUGACAUAUGUUUGAGGCAUGGGCUGAGUCUACAAAAAGCAUCAUUAGUGUGAAGCAAACGCUUCUGGGUGACAGGUAAGAAAGAAGGAUUAGGACCCAUGAUGCUGAAGAGGGAGCAUACUGUAGCAUGUUGAAAAUUUCCCCAAAGUAAAAGUUCACAAUCAGCAAUGGAAUGGGAAAGGGGAUGGAAUAAAGGAGUCCCACCGCAGGAGUCUAUAAUAUGAUGUAGGUUAGAGGCCCAGGCUCUUCCCAGUUUGUCUCUGGCCCUGCCCUCUCACCUUGGCAAUCUCAAAGGUGUUGUUAUAGAACACGUUGGCACUAUAGACUUCACUCUUGCCCUCUUCUUCCCAUAAGCCCUGUUUUUUCCUUUGCAUCUCUGAAACAAAGACACCCGACCCCACCCCUCAGACACUCGAAAGGUGUCUUAGGUUCCCCUUAGGUUCCCAUCUGCCCAACCCAAACCACCUACUGCACUAAAUCAGCUUGGGGAGAUGUUUAUCCCAUGGGGAAGGGGAAUGGGCUGUAAGAUAAGGAAAGGUGAGAGCUAAUGUCAAAGGAACCCUCAUGUUGCCUGCCUCAGAGCAGAGACAGAAUAGGGUCAGAGUAUGGUGCUCAGCCAGAGGAGGAGAAACUAAUUCAAAAGAACUGUUUCCUGAGUAGCUAUUUUGUCCCAAGAGGGUAUAGGUAGAUGUCUAGGGGCAGGUUCCUCAUUGGAAAUGAGGUUGCUCAGGUAACUUCCUAGCUCUCACUCUUCCAGACCAGUAUGUGGGUGGAUGGCCAAACCUCAAUGGGAGGCCAGAGCAGAAGUGAAAAGAGGAGAUUCUCCCUACGCUUUUGCAGCAGGAGGAUACGGUAGAGAUUGUAGACUGCCUGUGAAGACAGGAAGCAGAUGUUGUCCACUGGGUCCUGGCAGCGCAUGGCCAGCAGCCUUACCAAGCACCCCAACCGAGAGAACUUGAUCUCCACCUGGAGAGGAGAGCGGGAAGUCACAAGUUAUCCCAGCCAUUCCCUUAGGCUGAGUUAAAAGGAGAGGAGGCGGGGAUUCAGGAGAGAUAUGAAAGGAAAGACUAGGUGAGGUUAACGGGAAUGAAAUUAGACAGGUGGGUUGUAGCUAUUAAAAACUUGUGGGAUCAUAGUUUUGGAAUGACCUUACACUGUCCCUCUUCUUUGCCCCUUGAUAUUGUACUCAUUGUUCAGGCCUAGCUCAAAUGUCUCCUCCUCUCUGAAGCUUUCCCUUCACUUACACUUCAUUUGUGUUUUGAUCUUUUAUUCCUCCUAGAUUUGGUUUGUACUUUCGUAAUCGCCUUCUAUUUAAGUUUGUUCUACGCAUGCUUCUCUCCCCAGUGGACUAUAAGAUCCAUGAAAAUAGAAAAACUGUCUUGGUCAUCUAUGUAUCCACUGUAACGCUUAGCAUGGUGCCUGAAUGUCACCAGUUCUCAGCCAUUAGUGAAUCUAAGCAGUGAUCAUCAAAAGCUCUAAACACCACAAGACAUCAUGUGGCUGUUGAUAGAAGAAGACAACACUACUUGUGAAGUAAUCUUGCCAAAAAUUGAUCAGGUUCAUGAUCUAGAUCCAACAAUUACAAUUAGAAUCUAACAGAUUCUAGGUCUCGCAAUUUAUAGGACAGAUUUAGACAGAGGAGUUUAUUAAGUGGCCCCAAAAAGAUGUAAUUAGGACAACCCAGAAUGUGGAAAAUUUAGAGAACAAAUGACUAGGUUUCUUCAACAAAUAAAUUUCAAGGAAAAAAAUGAUUGAAGGGCAAUAUAUAGAUUAAAAGAAUUAAGAGACAGGGGCGCAUGGUGGCUCAGUCAGUUAAGUGUCCAACUUCGGCUCAGGUCAUGGUCUCAUGCGGUUCAUGGGUCCCAGCCCCACGUUGGGCUCUGUGCUGACAGUGUGGAGCCUGGAGCCUAGAGCCUGCUUCAGAUUCUGUGUCUCCCUCUCUCUCUCUUAAAAAUAAACAUUAAAAAAAAUAAGAGAGACAAACCAACUGAUUGGGAUGUGUGAAUGUUUAAUGACACCAAGAAAUGAAAUUACUUUCUUUCAUCGGUGUUUUAUAGUUUUCAGAGUACAGGCCUUUCACCUCCUUGGUUACGUUUUUUCCUAAAUAUUUUAUUAUUUUUACUGCAAUUGUAAGUGAGAUUGUUUA